AACCCAGAAAUGUAAUUGUUUCCAGGCGCGAAUUCAGUGCGUCAUUCUAUCCUCUCUCCUUAUCGUCUUUGUAAACCAUAUUGUCGGUUAGUCCAGGUGUUUCCAUUUCAACGCCUCCCUCGUCUUGGCUUAAAAACCGGACUACUACAAUGCUCUUUUCGUUGAAGAAUAGGACAAGAAUGGUACUAUUUAGAACUCCUCAACCUUAUCCUAACAGGGAAUUCAAAUUCUUAAUUUUGAAUUCAUUCAAAAUCCAUCCCGAGUUUCCCCCUAUUUUCUGCCCUAAUUCCAUUCUAUAAAUACCUUUAUCUUUUUCUCUAUGAUGUGUUGAAAAAAAAAAGAGUUGGAGGGUUCCGAAAAAUAGGGAAAAAAUGAGGAAGAAAAAUGAGAAAGGGCAUAAGAAGUCAGUCACAUUUUGCUUAUCAAAUAGCUUAUAAAAGGUCUUAGGAAUCGAUUUCUACAGUUGAAAAAUCCUUAGAAAGAUUCUCUAGUUCUAAAUUCCUGGAGGUUUCUUCGUCCAAUUUCCCUUCGGAUUUAUUGAUUAUUGCUCAAGUCGAACUUAGUAGAGAAGUCGUUGCUAGCUCGUUGUUCUCAGUUCAACAUCCCAGAAAAAGGGACUAUAAAAUUUUGGCUUCGCAUCAUUUCCAGAUCCUCCUUACAAGUUGUUGGCUUCUUAGAUGCCAAUUGAUAGGCUGUGCAAUCACUCGUGGAUCAACAACAAGACUUUGUGUGUUCUAACGAGAUAAUUUUAUCUCCUGGUCAUCUAAGAAACAAGAUGCUGUAUCAAAAUCUAGUGCCAAAGCAUCAAUUUCAUUUUGUACCCAACAAGCUUGGAGUUGUCUCUCUACCAACGUCCAACUUGAGCGGGAAUGAAAGUGAGUUGAACAAGGAGUAGGAGUCCAUAAAAGAGUCUUGUAUAAUAGCUUUUGGCUUUCUAGGUUUUGCAUAAUACAAAUAGCUUUCUCUUCUAUAAAUGUGGGUAUCCAGCCAUGUAUAUGCCAGAAUAAUAAUACAAUAUUCAACCUUCUUUCUUGAGCCUA